GAGUUUGAUCCUGGCUCAGAGCGAACGCUGGCGGCAGGCUUAACACAUGCAAGUCGAGCGGGCGUAGCAAUACGUCAGCGGCAGACGGGUGAGUAACGCGUGGGAACGUACCUUUUGGUUCGGAACAACACAGGGAAACUUGUGCUAAUACCGGAUAAGCCCUUACGGGGAAAGAUUUAUCGCCGAAAGAUCGGCCCGCGUCUGAUUAGCUAGUUGGUGAGGUAACGGCUCACCAAGGCGACGAUCAGUAGCUGGUCUGAGAGGAUGAUCAGCCACAUUGGGACUGAGACACGGCCCAAACUCCUACGGGAGGCAGCAGUGGGGAAUAUUGGACAAUGGGCGCAAGCCUGAUCCAGCCAUGCCGCGUGAGUGAUGAAGGCCCUAGGGUUGUAAAGCUCUUUUGUGCGGGAAGAUAAUGACGGUACCGCAAGAAUAAGCCCCGGCUAACUUCGUGCCAGCAGCCGCGGUAAUACGAAGGGGGCUAGCGUUGCUCGGAAUCACUGGGCGUAAAGGGUGCGUAAGGCGGGUCUUUAAGUCAGGGGUGAAAUCCUGGAGCUCAAUUCCAGAACUGCCCUUGAUACUGAGGAUCUUGAGUUCGGGAGAGGUGAUGGAACUGGCGAAGUGUAAAGGGUGAACAUCCGGUAGAUUUUUCGGCAGGAAACACCAGUUGGGCGAAGGCGGGUUCACUGGGGCCCGGAUUACUGAACGGCUUGAGGCCCGAAAGCGUGGGGGAAGCAAACCGGNUUAGAUUCCCUGGGUAGUCC
rnacentral:rRNA from 1 species